CUAGACUGAAAUCUAUUUGGACCACUGAAACAUCAAAUCUAAGGAAAUUAUUCAUACUAUAUUGAAAGUGUGCUGGUGUGCGUGUGACUGUUUGUGAAUAUAUGUGCACAGGAUAAGCAAGGAGAACUCAGCGUUUGUCCACUGGAAAGAAGGUGGGUGUCCGGUGUUUUGUCCCGAGAACUGGAAGGUGACGUGCAGAGCAUAUGUUCCUCUUCUACCUGUUCAAUUAGAGAGCAGCAAAAUGGAUGGAAGAUUUUGAAGGACAAAAGAGUACAGACAGAAAGAAAAUUUAUGGAAACUUCAAAAGCCAGAAAUCUUGAAGAGAUGGGCCUAGAUGACUGCAGCCCACGUUAAGACCCCCACUGCCUUCUACAAGAUUUGGAAAUGGAUUCCUGGUGAAUUCUUUUGAGGACUGGAACUUGCUUGUUGCAGCUUAAGGCUUUACAACAGAAUAAAGGGCUAAGGAGAUUUGGGAG
rnacentral:lncRNA from 1 species